rnacentral:rRNA from 1 species
UACGGAGGGAGCUAGCGUUGUUCGGAAUUACUGGGCGUAAAGGGCGCGUAGGCGGUUCUGUAAGUCCCGCGUGAAAUCCCCCGGCUCAACUGGGGAACUGCGUGGGAAACUGUGGGGCUAGAGUUCAGGAGAGGGAAGCGGAAUUCCGGGUGUAGCGGUGAAAUGCGUAGAUAUCCGGAGGAACACCGGUGGCGAAGGCGGCUUCCUGGACUGACACUGACGCUGAGGCGCGAAAGCUAGGGGAGCAAACGGG